GUACUCCCUUUGGCAGCACAUACACUAAAAUUGGAACAAUACAGAGAAGAUUUAGCAUGGCCCCUGUGAAGGAUCACACACAAACUCGUGAAUUGUUCCAUAUUUUU
ensembl:snRNA U6 U6 spliceosomal RNA